rnacentral:rRNA from 1 species
AUUGAACGCUGGCGGCAGGCCUAACACAUGCAAGUCGAACGAGUGGCGGACGGGUGAGUAAUGUCUGGGAAACCGCCUGAUGGAGGGGGAUCAAUACUGGAAACGGUAGCUAAUACCGCCUACCAUCGGAUGUGCCCAGAUGGGAUUAGGUAGUAGGGGGGGUAAAGGCUCACCUAGGCGACGAUCGCUAGCUGUGCUGAGAGGAUGACCGGCCACACGGGAACGGAGACACGGUCCAGACUCCUACGGGAGGCGGCAGUGGGGAUUAUUGGACAAUGGGCGAAGGCCGGAUGCAGCAAUGCCGCGGGUAGGAGGAAGGCCUUCGGUUGGUAAGGUACGUUCAGCGGGGAGGCGUUACCCGCAGAAGAAGCACCGGCUAACUCCGUGCCAGCAGCCGCGGUAAUAC